UUCUUUCUUAUCUUUUAACCAUUGGGUCUUUUCAACUGCUUGGCAUGUAUUCGCUUUAUUGUGUUUUUGAAGUGUUUGAUUUUGUGCUGCUUAACUAGUGAUGAAUAUUUGAUGCUUGAAGUUUCUUUGAAAAAUAGUUUGGAGAACAUGUGUGAGAUCAUGCAGAGUGCUCAAGAACUGUCAUAUGACGGGUCUUGUGUAACAAACAGCCUUAAGCCUCGGCAUAUUUGAUCAAGUUACAAGCAAGUGGCUUAGAGCAAGCCCAAUGCAAUUCCCUAUUUUCAACCCUUAAAAUAUUAUAUAUUAAUGGUUACUUAAAAUAUUGGGGAUCAAAAAGCUAUUUUGCUCCAACGAUGUUCUCUAUUUGAUUCCCUAUAUUUUAAAUCUGUAGAGAGAAAGAUUGCACUAAUAAAUAACGGAAAAAUAAGAGGAGAUAUGAGCUGGUGAUGACAUGGAGCAUAUAGGGGUUGCUUUUUCAUCCCUCAAAUAAGGUGUUGAACUUUCUCUCACCUAAAAUUAAUAGGGGAUAGGGAGUUGCGUUGGAGGAGCUCUUUUUGUUCUAAAUCCUCAAAUCUUGUCCAUGUAGAUCAAAUAUAGGUAAGGAAUUGGUGCAUUGGAGUUGCUCUUAUAACUGAAUUCUGAUCUUUCUCUCCUUGUGUAAAUAUAGCUGAGAGCUCAAUUAAGGAUUGUGCAGCUAGCAUUGGAGUGAGUGAGUACUCGAGCUAGUUAAACAACUUAGCCUACAUCUCCAAGUCGCUGAAAUUAAAUAGCUUAUCUUGCACAGUCAAGUUGCUAUAAUUCUACGUAGAAAUUGCACUAAGUUCGGGCUACCUUAAAAAUAUUCUUUAAGUUAUUGAUUUAGGAAUUUGGGUUAGGAUGGCUGAGUUAUGGAACCUAAUGUUUUGAGAUCACCGAGUAUGGAGCUUGGUUUACUCGAUAUUGUGCCCUUUCAUGGGUUGUUGAAGAUGAAAGGUCACUCCAUUGAAGUGACCGAGUACUCAUGCUUAUUUUUGUGCUCUGUAAGCAAGAGUCCUUUAAUGGAAAGCGUAACCAGGAUAUGUGUCUAUCACAAUCCUCUAAUGGUUGCCAAGCAAAAGCAGGACUUUAAAGAAGUUGAAACCUAUGUUACCCAAACUCGGCUAAAAGUGUCCUACAUGGAUAUGUGUCUGAGUAUCAGAAUCGGCAAUAAUUAGAAAAUUUUACAUGUUUAUGACUUAAAUAUGUGUCAGAGUGUCCAUUGCCAUGUCCGAGUGUCGAGUAUCCGACACAAGUACCCAAGACAAAAUGAAGAGUACGGGUUACAUUUGUUGAAACAGUCUUAUAAUGACAAGCAAAGUCAGGAUCCCUCUAAUGGUAAACAAAGUCAGGGUCCUUUAAUGGCAAGCCAAGUUAGGACGUGAGAUAUGUAUGGUGAACCUGUAUGGUGCCUGGAAAAUUGUGCCUCGAUUCUCUGUUUGAAAUUCUCGCCAAAUUCUGUUGAGGUAGGCCAUGAGCCUUGAAAUGCCUUUUGAAAGCAGAUGUUACUAUUGGUGAAAAGGAAUGAUGAGAUUGAUGGAGAUUUAAAUGGGAACCAUAAGUAGGUUUUCUUCCAAUUCUUUAAUAGGCUUAUCUUAUUUGUCAAGUUGCUUUCAUUUUCUUCUAUAAAUCUGACAGCUUAACUUGCAGUCAGACAAGUUGUUGUGAUUCUUGAUCUCUGAUAUCUCUUCCAAUCUAUUUCUUCAAAUUCUUCUCCAUUUCUAAUCUCUCCUUCUCGCUUCUUCAUCUACCUUUACGACUGAUCAUCUUCUUUAUUUGGUCUGCAACUACUAGCACUUUUUCACUGGCGUCUAAACAUCAAUCCGUUAUCUUCAAGAUAAGAGCUCCACACAGGUCUCACUCGUUAGUUUGAGGGGAAGUUUUAAGGGAUGGGGCUGGCAGGGAGUUUCUUAGAUGCAUGUGGAAGCGAAAGAGACGACUUUGGGCGAUGUUCUUGUUAGAGCAUUCCGCAGAAUAUCAUCUCUGGCCAUUCAUUUGAAAGUGAGGAUUAUAGAAGGUUUUUGUUUAAACCACUUCAAAGAAAUUUGCAGCUUGUGGCGAAGGUGUUCGAUGAGUUGCCUGUAUGAAGAUUUUUUUCAAUUGGCUGCAACAGGACUGCCUUUCGAAAAUCCAAGGUGCUGUGCUAUAGAACUCUUGCCUUUAGAAGCAAUGAAGAGGGUUGUCGAGCAAAACCAGAAAUUUCAAGUUUGGACCACCGCAACCCCAGUAAGCAGCGAUAACAUAUAAUAUUUGAGCUGCAACCGUUAAAAGCAUUUGGCAAGAACUUAAUCCGACUAAUGUUAAUAUGCUUUAGACAAUGAGUAAUGAUACGGGGGUCUCAUUAUCAUUAGUGUGAGCGAAACCAAUCACAUUGCCAAUAAGAUUUGAGAACACUUUCUGGUAUCUAGUAUUUCCUAUCAAACAUCGCUAAAGACGAGAAUUGUACCAGUAUUCAUUAUCAUUUGUUCUUGAGUCUUACAAAGCUUAAGUUAUCAGUUAUGGUUGAACCUCGCGAAGGAGGAUCAUCGUAUAGUUUGGCCGCAAAAGUCUGGGGAGUCUGAUCACCACCAUGCAACGAUGCUUGGUAAGUCAAAUAGUACAAAAACUAUGAGAAAACGAUCUCAUAACUCAUUACCUUGAUGACAACAUUUGGAAUACUUCUUUCCCUGCACGAGGAACGGUUGGGGCCAUUUGAAAACUUCUGAAUGCUGCUGAACUGAUUGAAAACUGAAUCGCUCAGUCGCUAAGCUCGUUUGAUAAAUUACUAUAUUAUCUGAUUGAUUCUUAAAACUUACUGAAACAUUCUGUGUUUUAAUUUUUAUUUUUUUUGAAUCAUUCAGAUUAUAAUAUUUACGGAAACUUGACUACUGCAAUACAUAUUUUGCAAGUGUUGAAUAAUUAAUAUAUUGUUUCCUAUUGUUUGAAAUCAUUAACCAUGAAAUUAAUUUGAUAUUUGUUGAUCUCCUGUAUACAAUUAUAUUAUUUAAUUAUUCCUUAAAGAAUACAAUUAUUUUUUCCAAAAUUAGUAUCCUUUUUGAAGGCUUAAUGACCUUUUAGCUCUCGAAAUAUGGGUGAAAGUUCCGAUGCGGCCUCAAUGUUUAAAGCCGUUCGAUUCGACCCUUAAAGUUUCACUAUUGUAUCUUUUAGCCUUUUCUUUUCUUUCAAAUAACGGUAUAUAACGGGGAUAAACUUGACAAUUCAUAUUCAGGAUAAAGUCUGGGUGUAUUCUUUUAAGCCCUAAAAUAUACAUCUCGUUCCUUUUAACCCCUGAAGAAUACAUUAAAAUACAUUAGAUGUUACUUUUAACCCUCGAUGUUUAAUGCCUUUUUAACCCUCGCGUGUGAAAUAUCAACUUUGUCCACCCCGUUAUAUACCGGUAUACGCCACAAGGGCUAAAAGGUAUAAUCUAAAAACUUGAAGGGUCGAAUCAAACGACUUUAAACUUUGAGACUGCAUCGAAACUUCCACCCAUACUUCGAGGGCUAAAAGGUCACUAAACCUUUUUUGAAUUAUAUAAUGUUCUCUUAUAUUUUCGUGACUAUAUUUUCAUUGAUUAAAAUAUUGAAUAAAUCUUAUAAUUAUUUGAUUACUGUGUUUAAUAGGUAUCAUAACUUAUAAUUAAAUAUAUUUUUCGAAGAGAAAAUUGUAAAAUUAAAAUUCAGGUCAUUCUGAAAAAUUGCGUAUCAAAUAAUUUUAUUCAUCUAUAUCAUUCUGAUAUCUUAAUUGGGUUUGUCUAGUGUGCUUAUGGGCACGUGUUAAGCACCAAAUUUUAUAAGUUUGAUGGUUUUUUAUUGGUAUGGUUGGUGAAUUUGUAGGGGGGUCCACCAUUAUAAAAAGUAGGAGCCAAUAAAAAUCCACCAAACUUAUAGAAUUUGGUGUUUAGUGUGUGGUUAUGAGCACACUCACUAGAAAAAUCGAUAUUAAUUAAUCAGAUAAAUAACAUUUAGACUUGUCAAAUGACCGGUCAAGAAUACAAGAAAUAAAUAAGGACAGCAAGAAAUAAAUAAGGACAGCGGAAAAACAGAUGUAUCAACAAAUCUCUGCGUUAUGAUAGUACUGAAUGGCCUUCUGGGCGAAAAAAGUCAAAUUAGCAAUCUCUUAUUGAGUUAAAAUUAAAUACUUCCUCGUCUCACCCAUUUUUUUAUAUUUUUUUUUGGGGUGUUCCAUCCAAUUAUUUAUAUUUUAAAACUUAUCAAAAAUAGUCAAUGGAUCCCAUCAAUUCUCCAUUUUUUUCUUUUUCACACUACUUUUAUUCCACUAUCUUCUUUUUAUAGAUUAAAAGUCAAUGGAUCCCACCACUUUACCCAUUUUUCUUCCUCUUUUUCACUAUUUUAUAUAUAUUUCUUAACCUGCAUACCCAACCCAUUCGAUAAGAAAUGGUGGGACUAUUGAAUGCCCUGUGGAUUUCUCGCACGAGAGAUGCUGAAGUAACAGAAUGAAAUUAAUGGUCUUAAUAGAAAUAAGAAUAAGCAAUGCCAUGAUACUGGUACCUAAACAAUUUUUAGCCAAUAUCAUCAUAUCAAGGACCUCUGUAUCUGAUUAUGUAUAUGUACAUCAUUUGACGUAAUUAGAAAAUAUUUCAAAUGCAAAGACUUGUAAAAUCAAAUAAGCGCAUUCCUAUUUUCAGCAGAAUAUCAUCUCUGCCCAUUCAUUUCAAAGUGACGAUUACCAAAGGUUCUUGUUUAAACCAGGUCAAAGAAAUUUGCAGCUUGUUGGGUGAUGCGGCGAAGGUGUUCGAUGAAAUGCCUGUAUGAAGAUUUUUUCCAAUUGGUGAGAUUACUUGACAAUAUUUUAUUUUCUUGGAUCGCUACUAAGAACUUUUUAUGCUUGUGACCAUUGGGUCUUUUAAAGUGCUUGGCAUGUCUUCACUUUAUUGUGUUUUGAAGAGUUUGAUCUAGCGCUGGUUAAGACUAGUGGUAUAUGAAAAUUGAUCUUGGAACCUAGAAAUUGCACCUAGUUUGGGCUACCUUAAAAAUACUCUUUUAAGUGAUUGAUUUAGGAAUUUGGGUCCGGAAUCCGGAUGGCUGAGUUAUGGAAUGGAGCUUUGUUUACUCGAUAUUGUGCCAUUUCACGGGUUGUUGAAGCUGAGAGGUCACUCCAUUGAAGUGACCGAGUACUGAUGCUUAUUUUUAGCUCUGUAAGCAAUACUCUAGUGGCAAGCGUAAUUUGGACAUGUGUCUAUCACAAAUUUCUAAUGGUUGGCAAGCCAAAUCAUGACUUUAAAGAAGUUGAAAUAGUUUUCUAGUGACAAGCAAAGUCAGGAUCCCUCUAAUGGUAAACAAAGUCAUGGUCCUUUAAUGGCAAGCUAAGUCAGGAUGUGAGUUUAAAUAUGUAUGGUGAACCUGUAUGGUGCCUGGAAAAUUGUGCGUCGAUUCUCCGGUUAAAAAAUCUCGCCAAAUUCUGUUGAGGCGAUGAGCCUUGAAAUGCCUUUUGAAAGCAGAUGUUACUACUGGUGAAAAGGAAUUAAGAAAUCGAUGAAGAUUUAAAAGGGAACCAUAAGUAGGUUUUCUUCCAAUUUUUUGAUAGGCUUAUCUUGCUUUGUCAAGUUGCUAUCAUUUUCUUCUAUAAAUCUGACAGCUUAACUUGCCUUCAGACAAGUUGUUGUGAUUCUUGAUCUCUCAUAACUCUUCCAAUCUAUUUCUUCAGUUUUUUCUCCAUUUCUAAUCUUUCCUUCUCGCUUCUUCUACCUUUACGACUGAUCAUCUUCUUUAUAUGGCCUGCAACUACUAUCACUUUUAUAUUGGCGUCUAAACAUCAAUCCAUUAUCUUCAAGAUAAGAGCUCCACAAAGUUCCCACUCUUUAGUUUGAAGGUAGUUUGAGGGGGAGUGUUAAGGGACAAGAUUAAAGGGUACUAUGUCUUUCUAUCUGGAACAUUUGUUUUUACUAGAAUUUAGUAUUGUAACCUUCUAUAUAUUCUUUUUAUGUAGUAACUGUAGAAAGACAAGUAAAAAGAAAUUUAGUCAAUUAAUUUAUCUUCUUUCUUGUU